AUUGAACGCUGGCGGCAGGCCUAACACAUGCAAGUCGAGCGGAGCUGCGGACGGGUGAGUACUACCUAGGAAUCUGCCUGGUAGUGGGGUAUAACGUUCGGAAACGUACGCUUAUACCGCAUACUAUCAGAUCAGCCUAGGUCGGAUUAGCUAGUUGGUGAGGUAAUGGCUCACCAAGGCUACGAUCCGUAACUGGUCUGAGAGGAUGAUCAGUCACACUGGGACUGAGACACGGUCCAGACUCCUACGGGAGGCAGCAGUGGGGAAUAUUGGACAAUGGGCGAAAGCCUGAUCCAGCCAUGCCGCGUGUGUGAAGAAGGUCUUCGGAUUGUAAAGCACUUUAAGUUGGGAGGCGUUACCGACAGAAUAAGCACUGGCUAACUCUGUGCCAGCAGCCGCGGUAAUAC
rnacentral:rRNA from 1 species